GUUCUGAUCUCUAUAGCCUCUAUAGGUCCUGUUCUGAUCUCUAUAGGUCCUGUUCUGAUCUCUAUAGCCUCUAUAGGUCCUGUUCUGAUCUCUAUAGCCUCUAUAGGUCCUGUUCUGAUCUCUAUAGCCUCUAUAGGUCCUGUUC